rnacentral:rRNA from 1 species
CCUACGGGAGGCAGCAGUCGAGAAUCAUUCACAAUGGGGGAAACCCUGAUGGUGCGACGCCGCGUGGGGGAAUGAAGGUCUUCGGAUUGUAAACCCCUGUCAUGUGGGAGCAAAUUAAAAAGAUAGUACCAUAAGAGGAAGAGACGGCUAACUCUGUGCCAGCAGCCGUGGUAAUACAGAGGUCUCAAGCGUUGUUCGGAAUCACUGGGCGUAAAGCGUGCGUAGGCUGUUUCGUAAGUCGUGUGUGAAAGGCGCGGGCUCAACCCGCGGACGGCACAUGAUACUGCGAGACUAGAGUAAUGGAGGGGGAACCGGAAUUCUCGGUGUAGCAGUGAAAUGCGUAGAUAUCGAGAGGAACACUCGUGGCGAAGGCGGGUUCCUGGACGUUAACUGACGCUGAGGCACGAAGGCCAGGGGAGCGAAAGGGAUUAGAUACCCGGGUAGUC